UACAGAGGUCUCAAGCGUUGUUCGGAUUCAUUGGGCGUAAAGGGCGCGUAGGCGGCGGGGUAAGUCUGGUGUGAAAUCUCGGAGCUCAACUCCGAAAUUGCACUGGAUACUGCUCUGCUUGAGGGUUGGAGAGGAGAUCGGAAUUCACGGUGUAGCAGUGAAAUGCGUAGAUAUCGUGAGGAAGACCAGUGGCGAAGGCGGCUCGCUGGGACGGUACUGACGCUGAGACGCGAAAGCGUGGGGAGCAAACAGG
rnacentral:rRNA from 1 species